rnacentral:tRNA from 1 species
GCCCCGUGGUGUAACGGUUAGCACUCAGGACUCUGAAUCCUGCGAUCCGAGUUCAAAUCUCGGCGGGAGCU